UGGCGAGUGGCGGACGGGUGAGGAUACAUCGGAAUCUACUUUUUCGUGGGGGAUAACGUAGGGAAACUUACGCUAAUACCGCAUACGACCUACGGGUGAAAGCAGGGGAUCUUCGGACCUUGCGCGAUUAAAUGAGCCGAUGUCGGAUUAGCUAGUUGGCGGGGUAAAGGCCCACCAAGGCGACGAUCCGUAGCUGGUCUGAGAGGAUGAUCAGCCACACUGGAACUGAGACACGGUCCAGACUCCUACGGGAGGCAGCAGUGGGGAAUAUUGGACAAUGGGCGCAAGCCUGAUCCAGCCAUGCCGCGUGGGUGAAGAAGGCCUUCGGGUUGUAAAGCCCUUUUGUUGGGAAAGAAAAGCACGGGGCUAAUACCCUUGUGUUCUGACGGUACCCAAAGAAUAAGCACCGGCUAACUUCGUGCCAGCAGCCGCGGUAAUACGAAGGGUGCAAGCGUUACUCGGAAUUACUGGGCGUAAAGCGUGCGUAGGUGGUGAUUUAAGUCCGUUGUGAAAGCCCUGGGCUCAACCUGGGAAUUGCAGUGGAUACUGGGUCACUAGAAUGUGGUAGAGGGUAGCGGAAUUCCUGGUGUAGCAGUGAAAUGCGUAGAGAUCAGGAGGAACA
rnacentral:rRNA from 1 species